rnacentral:tRNA from 1 species
UAAAAAAAUAGGGUUUGAACCUAUCCUAAGGAGAUCAAAACUCCCCGUGCACCCUCUACACCAUUUUUUA